rfam:Bacillus circulans strain RIT379 contig22, whole genome shotgun sequence.
AAAUAAAUAACAUUUGUACCGUAGACAGUAGGUGCUAAUUUUUUAGCUUAAUUUCCUGCCGAGGUAAUACGAUAGAUUAUUUGAUCAGUUGUGAGAACGACUAUUGUAUACACCUCCAUGUCUGAAAGAUAUGGAGGAUUUUAUUUGUCGGU